AAUGCUGAUGCCAGGACCUUGUCCUGCCAGGAAGCCUCUGAUUAGGGCUGUGAACCAACUUCCUUUUCACAUCUGCAAGGACACUUGGAGGCAACUGCCCAAGGCCACUCUGAGGAGGGUUGAAUGUUCUUUAUUAAAAGGACUGAGGAUCAUGUGUGUUGGUGGGCCUUGGACUCUGCUCUAAGACUCAUGGAGGCAACCACUCAAGGUCACUCUGAGAAGGGUUGAACGUGCUUUAUUAAAAGGACUGAGGAUCAUGUGUGUUGGUGUGUCCCGGAGUCUGCUCUAAGGCCCUGUGGCUGCCUGGUGCCCUGGGAAUGGUCCGGUCAUGGGCCUCAGCCCAGGAUGAGCAGCCAACAAUGCAAUCCCACGAAGAGUGUGCGGAAGGGAGAGGUUACUUCUCAAGAUGGAGCUGCCAAAUAGGGACACUUUGGAGAGUCUGGCCUGAGAACUUUUAGUUUCAAGAAUGUAUUGCUUUGGAAAAGACAGAAUAAAAGUCCAA
rnacentral:lncRNA from 1 species